rnacentral:rRNA from 1 species
UACGAAGGGGGCUAGCGUUGUUCGGAAUCACUGGGCAUAAAGGGCGCGUAGGCGGCCAAGUAAGUUGGGUGUGAAAGCCCGUGGCUCAACCACGGAAUUGCCUUCGAUACUGCUUGGCUUGAGACCGGAAGAGGUGAGUGGAACUGCGAGUGUAGAGGUGAAAUUCGUAGAUAUUCGCAAGAACACCAGUGGCGAAGGCGGCUCACUGGGCCGGAUCUGACGCUGAGGCGCGAAAGCGUGGGGAGCAAACAGG